AAAAAGGAUCUUUUUUGUUAGAUCCCCUAAUAUAUGCUUAAAAUAUUUAU
rfam:Oryctes borbonicus contig14539, whole genome shotgun sequence.